rnacentral:rRNA from 1 species
UGUGAGCUCGAUGAGUAGGGCGGGACACGUGGUAUCCUGUCUGAAUAUGGGGGGACCAUCCUCCAAGGCUAAAUACUCCUGACUGACCGAUAGUGAACCAGUACCGUGAGGGAAAGGCGAAAAGAACCCCGGCGAGGGGAGUGAAAAAGAACCUGAAACCGUGUACGUACAAGCAGUGGGAGCACGCUUAGGCGUGUGACUGCGUACCUUUUGUAUAAUGGGUCAGCGACUUAUAUUCUGUAGCAAGGUUAACCGAAUAGGGGAGCCGAAGGGAAACCGAGUCUUAACUGGGCGUUAAGUUGCAGGGUAUAGACCCGAAACCCGGUGAUCUAGCCAUGGGCAGGUUGAAGGUUGGGUAACACUAACUGGAGGACCGAACCGACUAAUGUUGAAAAAUUAGCGGAUGACUUGUGGCUGGGGGUGAAAGGCCAAUCAAACCGGGAGAUAGCUGGUUCUCCCCGAAAGCUAUUUAGGUAGCGCCUCGUGAAUUCAUCUCCGGGGGUAGAGCACUGUUUCGGCAAGGGGGUCAUCCCGACUUACCAACCCGAUGCAAACUGCGAAUACCGGAGAAUGUUAUCACGGGAGACACACGGCGGGUGCUAACGUCCGUCGUGAAGAGGGAAACAACCCAGACCGCCAGCUAAGGUCCCAAAGUCAUGGUUAAGUGGGAAACGAUGUGGGAAGGCCCAGACAGCCAGGAUGUUGGCUUAGAAGCAGCCAUCAUUUAAAGAAAGCGUAAUAGCUCACUGGUCGAGUCGGCCUGCGCGGAAGAUGUAACGGGGCUAAACCAUGCACCGAAGCUGCGGCAGCGACGCUGAUGCGUUGUUGGGUAGGGGAGCGUUCUGUAAGCCUGUGAAGGUGUACUGUGAGGUAUGCUGGAGGUAUCAGAAGUGCGAAUGCUGACAUAAGUAACGAUAAAGCGGGUGAAAAGCCCGCUCGCCGGAAGACCAAGGGUUCCUGUCCAACGUUAAUCGGGGCAGGGUGAGUCGACCCCUAAGGCGAGGCCGAAAGGCGUAGUCGAUGGGAAACAGGUUAAUAUUCCUGUACUUGGUGUUACUGCGAAGGGGGGACGGAGAAGGCUAUGUUGGCCGGGCGACGGUUGUCCCGGUUUAAGCGUGUAGGCUGGUUUUCCAGGCAAAUCCGGAAAAUCAAGGCUGAGGCGUGAUGACGAGGCACUACGGUGCUGAAGCAACAAAUGCCCUGCUUCCAGGAAAAGCCUCUAAGCAUCAGGUAACAUCAAAUCGUACCCCAAACCGACACAGGUGGUCAGGUAGAGAAUACCAAGGCGCUUGAGAGAACUCGGGUGAAGGAACUAGGCAAAAUGGUGCCGUAACUUCGGGAGAAGGCACGCUGAUAUGUAGGUGAAGUCCCUCGCGGAUGGAGCUGAAAUCAGUCGAAGAUACCAGCUGGCUGCAACUGUUUAUUAAAAACACAGCACUGUGCAAACACGAAAGUGGACGUAUACGGUGUGACGCCUGCCCGGUGCCGGAAGGUUAAUUGAUGGGGUUAGCGCAAGCGAAGCUCUUGAUCGAAGCCCCGGUAAACGGCGGCCGUAACUAUAACGGUCCUAAGGUAGCGAAAUUCCUUGUCGGGUAAGUUCCGACCUGCACGAAUGGCGUAAUGAUGGCCAGGCUGUCUCCACCCGAGACUCAGUGAAAUUGAACUCGCUGUGAAGAUGCAGUGUACCCGCGGCAAGACGGAAAGACCCCGUGAACCUUUACUAUAGCUUGACACUGAACAUUGAGCCUUGAUGUGUAGGAUAGGUGGGAGGCUUGGAAGUGUGGACGCCAGUCUGCAUGGAGCCGACCUUGAAAUACCACCCUUUAAUGUUUGAUGUUCUAACGUUGACCCGUAAUCCGGGUUGCGGACAGUGUCUGGUGGGUAGUUUGACUGGGGCGGUCUCCUCCUAAAGAGUAACGGAGGAGCACGAAGGUUGGCUAAUCCUGGUCGGACAUCAGGAGGUUAGUGCAAUGGCAUAAGCCAGCUUGACUGCGAGCGUGACGGCGCGAGCAGGUGCGAAAGCAGGUCAUAGUGAUCCGGUGGUUCUGAAUGGAAGGGCCAUCGCUCAACGGAUAAAAGGUACUCCGGGGAUAACAGGCUGAUACCGCCCAAGAGUUCAUAUCGACGGCGGUGUUUGGCACCUCGAUGUCGGCUCAUCACAUCCUGGGGCUGAAGUAGGUCCCAAGGGUAUGGCUGUUCGCCAUUUAAAGUGGUACGCGAGCUGGGUUUAGAACGUCGUGAGACAGUUCGGUCCCUAUCUGCCGUGGGCGCUGGAGAACUGAGGGGGGCUGCUCCUAGUACGAGAGGACCGGAGUGGACGCAUCACUGGUGUUCGGGUUGUCAUGCCAAUGGCACUGCCCGGUAGCUAAAUGCGGAAGAGAUAAGUGCUGAAAGCAUCUAAGCACGAAACUUGCCCCGAGAUGAGUUCUCCCUGACUCCUUGA